UUUCAGAAGCAAAGAAGAACAGAAUGCACAGGAGGCAACAGUGUGCAGCUUUUUAAAGAACUUAAAGCAGAUUCUCACUAAACAAAUCACCAUCUGGCCUCCAGUGGGGAUAUUCAAGGAAAUUCUGAUAUUUUGGAUCAAUAAUGCUCUUAAUUCAGUUUUAAUUGACUGAAACAGGAUCUGUUAUCCAAAAACUAGAAGGAGGGCCUUCCUGAUUUGCUUCUCCAGCCUAAGCUUCUUCACCAUGAAUAUCACUCUUGAAAACCCGUAUGGUGACGUGACCAUACCCCGUGCCAAGCUACGUGCUCAGGGUGACUCGAGCACCAUUAUCAUGAACCCCAUGGCCUUAGAGAGCACCUACAACCAUAACUCUUCCAUGAACCCUUAUAGCAACUUCAGAACAGGCGAGAACAACCCAGCAAAUGUGCCGGUUUACGGAGAGGCCAAAAACGGCACCCAGUAUCCUCCUCCUUACAACAGCCAGGGGGGAUACACGGUGAAGGAGGAUGAAGAGCAGGUGGGACGUUGUUACGCCUGUUGCUGCCGGUGCCGAAGGAAGAAAUGAGAACAAUCGUGCCUUCAGGUGUAAAGGAUUAUGAAUUUACAAAAUGAGAGAGAUGUGGGAGACAGAGAAGGAAUCAUAACUCUGUUUCCCAAAAUUGCUUCUUUUGGAAGCCAAACCUCAUACACUGCUAAAACGACUGGAUUUUAGGGCUCCAUUAACUGUUACAUAUGAUCCAGGGAUCGUACUUUGACGCUUGCCCAAGGAUUGGACAUAAAGAGCUGACCUCCUAUGACUACACUGAAUCCUAUCUUAAAUAUUUACAUUUGGAUUAGUAUGUCAAACAAUGCUUUUGUUACAUGUUACAUUUGGCUGUAUUUCUAUUGUUAAAUCACCAAAGCAGCCGUAUCUUUGUGUGCCCGAUCCAAUAGCUUUGAUAUUGUGUUCAUGAUGAAAAAACAAAAUAAGGCAAAAGCAUGCUUGGACACUCCCCCUUAUGAUCACAAAUGAAAUGUGGUUCAUUACACGUAUCGUGGCAGUUCCUAGAUGAAAUGUCCACUUUGUGGCGCUAAAAGUGAGUUAAACCAAUGAGGUUUUUAAAGUUAGUGCUCUACUUACCAACCUACCCUAAACCUAAAACCUCAACCUAAUCAAUAGUGUCAGAAAAGCAAAUGUGAUAGAAAAAAACAAUUGCGUCAUUUUGAGGUACUUCAACGACAUGUUCGGCUCACUUGUUGACUACCCAUGUCUUUUGCAUUGCAAAUGCCUUGCUCUAUCAAUUGAGCUACCACGCAAAUUGAUGACACUCGAACAAGCUUGUAAAUGAAGUUGGUUAUGUAAUGCAAACGUAAAAUGUAUAGCCUUAAGCCAAGUGUACACUACACAACUUGCAGUCGGCGUCCUGCGACUCACAGUUUUUCGUUGUGCUGGUGUGAUCACUUCGGGACUGUAGUGUAUCAACUACACGACCACUCGUCCCCGACUGAGACCAUGUGUACUCCUGGUAUUAAGAUGAGUUUUGGGUGAUCUGAUCACAAAUGUACAUGCGAGGCAUCACCGUUACACCUGGUCGUCUCUUUUGAACACUUGCGUUCGGAUUUCGAGGAGACAGUCUCUGAUUUCAUGAGGACAGACAUCAGUCAUUACGUCUGUGUUUUACUGAAUGAUAAUAAAGCACAAAAAUGUAAAAGACGAGAGCACAGUUUCUCUUAAUAUUCCCAAACAUGAUGUUUAGAGCGGAAUUCUGAGUUAUUUUAGUGCAAUACCUGUUACUGAGCUUCUAAUGAGCAUGCUGCUCAUUUCUGUAUCCCUAUUGUACAUGUUCAUGCAUUAGCUUUUUUUACAUUUCUGAUCGUACACUUAUUUCUCUAUUAAUCCGCACAGAACUGGCUGUUACAGCUGCCAUUAGCAUUUUCAAAACGGAUCACCAAAAAUGCAUCUUAAAAUUAAGAUAACAAUAUAUAUAUUCACAAACUCGCACAAUUUAUUCUUGAUACAUGUAAUAAAACAAAAAAAACAUGAAAGAACAGCUCUCGCCCAUUUUCGUGCUUUAUUGGCACCAUUUGUAAAAAAAAAAAACAUCAGUGAUAAUAAAAAACAGUGGGUAGGUGAGGUUUUCUUUUAUUUUAUUAUUAUUUUUGUCUCAUUCUACCCAAUAUCUAAUUGCUCUUCUCUUUCAACAAACAGGAAAGAAUGGCUCGCUCCUGUUUUACGCGUAUUUGCACUAAUUUGCAAAGGAAUUCUUUUAAUAAAAACAGCUGAAAAUAAUAAAGACAGCAGGUAGGGAGAUGUGGAUGAUUUUUUAUUUUAUUUUCUAAUUAUUUUUUGUCUCUUGCCAACCAAAUCUCCUCUUUCAACAAACAUGAAAGUAUGGCUCAUGCCCAUUUUGCUAUUUGCAAAAGGAAACAUUUAAGAAAAACAGAUAAAAAUAAUAAAGAGAGAGGGUAUAGGAAGAUGUGGGUGAAGUUUAAUUUUAUUAUAUUCUAUUUAUUUUAGAAUAAAAAAGCCUUGCCCUCCUCUUGUGCUCUCUCUAUAUUUAAUUGGCUGUGGCUCAUUGUCAUCUCUUGCUUGUCGGGACAGCACGCACACCUGACGACGAGACGUCUAGAUAUCAGGCAGUUUUGAAAACUGCUGCAGCGUCUGCAACUCAUCUCGGCCUGUCGCAGUAGUGCGCACACAACAAGACCUUUCGUCGAGAGAUCAGAGACUUCUCGUCGCAGACUCAAAACAUCAAAGGAGACGAGCUUGAGUCAUGUAGUGUUUCCACUAGGCAUUAACAGUUAUGCGCUAAAGUAAAUGUGUUUAGAUGUCGUGAGAUUACACUGUGUGAGAAACAGGGCGAAAAGUAAGUGUUUAUGGACUGAUAAUCUGCCUUUAUACUCUUGAUUGAAUUGAAAUGAAUAAAAGUAUUUUUUGUUGUAGCGCCUCUAGUGUUAAUUACACCAGGAAACUGUCGCGAUACGUUCAACAAGCCAAGUAAAUAUCAUUUUGCAAAAAUAAAUAAAUAAAUAAAAAAAUGUUGUCAGUUCCACAGCUCUUGUCCUGGGAGUGCACAAAUUUACACUGUUAUUUGAACUUCUGUCAAUCAAUCAAUAUUUGACUCAGUCAAAUCAAAAUCUUGCUUUUGGUGAACUGUGAGAUGAGUGUUUAGUGGCUGAAGAUCCCUAUGGAUUACAAUGACACUGCACUAUCUGAUUUUAAUGGUCCACACUUGAGGUCAGCUCUCUUUAUUAAACAUUUUGUCUGGACGAGCUCCACCCAGUUUCUGUUGAUCAAAGUGAUCAAGACUGUGAGCCACACCCGAACAUGCCGUCAGACCCAGGAGAGUGAAACUAGCAGAAGAACCCACAUUUCUUUGCAAAGGGAAAAACAAAGGAACAUUGUAAACACAAGCUAUUCUGGUUGCUCUAAAUUUACAGCUGGUACAUAGUGGCCAGGAUUUUUAAAGCUGCCAAUGACACAACUGAUUUGGUCAAUAAAGAGAUUGUUCACCCCAAAAAUGAUAUUGUUUCAAACCUGUAUGACUUUUUCCUUACAAUUAAAGUGAAUAGUGAUUGAGACUGAACAUUCAGCUAAAAGUCUCCUUUUUAGUUCCACGAAAGUCAUAUGGGGUUGGAACAACAUGAGGGUGAGUAAAUAAUGACAGAAUUUUCAUUUUGGAUAUACUAUCCCUUUAAAAUUAAAGAACACCUUGAUAACACUAAUGUUAUUUUAUGAUAAGCUAUAAAAAAGUCUGAUGAAGUAAUAUGUAGUAGUAUUAAGUAGAUAUAUUUAAUAAAAUGGGGUGUGUACAGUUUUCUGGCCCUGAGACUGUGAGCCAGACUGCUGUAAAUAUGACAAUGAUAUGCCAGCCAAAAUGUUUUGAAUGUCUGUAUUUGUUAUGCGUGAGUGAUACGUCUCAAAUAUAUUUUUUGGAUCCAUAAAGUA